CCAGUCCCACUCUCUUUCACUUGCGUAACAACCUCGUUUUUUUACUUUCCGCCCCCUCCCCAUUUCCACUUACAGUCCCCUCGACCUCUGAGGUUUUUAAUCUGUGACAUGAUUGGCUGGGCAGGCCCUCUCACAGAGCGGGUGUGGAAGGCUUUAGAAUAAAAGUACAGUAGUACUGUCAGCAUCAAACCGCUCUGAACCCAGACACACAGCAGCUUCGUGGCGCUUUUCUUUCACGUCCCGCUAUGUCCUCAGACAGUACCAUGGACUUGGACUUGGAGCUUGGUGAGUUGCUCCAGGAGUUCCAGGAUGUGGUGGAGGAGCUGAAGGCCCCUUCUCAAAGCAGACCGCAUGCUUACCAGAAAGCAUUGCACGAGGCCAAAACUCUCACAGGGCUGAGUGAAGACAGUGGAGUCGAGGACUCAGAUUACAGCAGUGAACCAUCUAUGGGGAACAGUUUGAAUACCAGUGAGGAGGAGCUCCACACAGCAGGAAUAACGCUGGCAUCAAAAGCCAAGCUGGGAGACACAAGGGAUCUUGAGAGUUUUAUCGACAUGUUGGACCGGGAACUUGCUGGUGCGUAUUUAAGAAAAUUACACCCUCUAUCAUCCAAUCUUUUCUUGACUUCUUUUGUACUGAGUCGACAAGCCAGCAGGUUGGAGUAUGUUACAGUGGCAGAGACGCGCCGACAUGAGCGUGGCGUAUGUUUUGGUGUUUUGGACUGUGUAGCAGUAUCCAGCUUGUUUCUACAGUGUACUGUACCCCCUGCUGUUUAUCUCUGAGCACCCUUUAUGUGUAAAUAUCAUGUCUGAGGACUCAGGUGGACUAUCUACACGCGCUUUAGUGAUAAUGGCAUACUUGACUACAUGAGCGUCAUGAUCCUGCUAUCAGCGGUAAAGCAGUGGUGUUCCAGAGGCCCCUAAACACACACGCAUCACCCAGAGCAUGCACACAAGCAACAGGGAGCAAAGCAUAAAUCCACUGCUAUCAGUGGUCUCGACACAAAGCGAAUUAACGUUACAAAUUAAUCGUAACUCCCCGUGUAUCUCUACAAGGCUCACUUAGUCACUGCAUAUUGAUGUGUUUAUUCACAUGCCUGUGCUUUUUCUUCUUCUUUCUUUUUGCAGAGAUGUGAACAGAGAGCAAAAGUGAGCUACGUACAAUAAUGGGGGGGGGGGGGGGGGGGGGGGGGGGGGAUAGGGAAUAGGCUGGGGGCGACAUGACUGGCUACUGCUGAGCAGAAAGAGAGAUAUACACCAGAACAGAUCUGAUGGAGCAAAUGGUCCCCUCGCCGCUCCGGGGGAAAAGGUUAACAUCCGAAAUUAAAAGGGCAGUCCAUUCCGAAAAUGCAAGAACUCCCACAGACCCCCGGCGAUGCUGCGUCCAGCCAGCAAAGACAACGUCCGCCUGCAGCAUCAGAUCCAGGAUGUGUGACAUAUUCUUAAAAUGAGACAAAGCUUCCAUCUGUUUGGGCAUGUGACAAAAAAGAAAGAAGAAACACAACAAAAACACUGCCUAGAGUAUAGAAAGCAUGUUUAUCCCACAUUUUAAAAAAAAAUCCCAUAAGUGCAAUGCCUGGAAAGGGCUCUAAAUCCUCACGGCUGUGUAGUUUUGAAGAAAGCUGAGCUUUGUCUGGAUCAAAAUCUUAGACGGCACAAAAGUUUUAGGCUAAUUUCAAACUAAUUUUAAUUAGAAGGGCAUUUCUGGUGUACAGGUCUUUAUGAUAUUUGUUUUGUUUUAAUAAUAUAUAAUGUAUAUACAGAUGAAUGCAUGUAAAAAUAAAAAGAGAUUUGUAAUGAA
ensembl:lncRNA